rnacentral:tRNA from 1 species
GUCCUCGUAGCUAAGCUGGUAGAGCAUGCUCUGUGCAAAAGAGUAGUAGGCGUCCAUGUUUGGGUUCGAAUCCUACCGGGGCUA